GCCAGCAGCUAGCUCUCUGCAACACUUACAUGCCUGCCCACUGAAGCUAAGCAGAGCUGCGCCCAGUCGGUACCAGGAUGGGAGACCACAUGGAAAAGCUAGGCUUUUGCCGGAA
rfam:Danio rerio chromosome 14, GRCz11 reference primary assembly.